GACGAACGUUGGCGGCGUGCUUAAUACAUGCAAGUCAACUGAAGCAGUGGUAGCAAUAUCGCUGUGGAGGUGGCGCACGGGUGAGUAACACGUAGGUAAUCUGCCUUCAGGUCUGGCAUAACUCCGGGAAACCGGGGCUAAUAGCAGAUGAUGCAGCGGCUCGACAUCGAGACAGUUGUUAAAGCUAUGGCGCCUGAAGAUGAGCCUGCGUCUGAUUAGCUAGUUGGCGGGGUAACGGCCCACCAAGGCAACGAUCAGUAGCUGGUCUGAGAGGAUGAUCAGCCACACUGGAACGGAGACACGGUCCAGACUCCUACGGGAGGCAGCAGUAAGGAAUAUUGCGCAAUGGGAGAAAUCCUGAAGCAGCAACGCCGCGUGAGGGACGAAGGGCUUUUGCUUGUAAACCUCUGUAGUGAGAGAAAAAAAUCCCAAUCUUUGGGACAUGAUGGUAUCUCAAAAGUAAGCCCCGGCUAACUACGUG
rnacentral:rRNA from 1 species